rnacentral:misc_RNA from 1 species
GAUGAAGAACGUAGCGAAAUGCGAAAAGUAGUGUGAAUUGCAGAAUUCAGUGAAUCAUCGAAUCUUUGAACGCACAUUGUGCCCCUUGGUAUUCCAUGGGGCAUGCCUGUUCGAGCGUCAUUUUGUACCCUCAAGCACUGCUUGGUGUUGGGCGUUUGUCCUGCAGAGGACUCGCCUGAAAGCGAUUGGCGGCCAACGUAGUCGUGGCAGAGCGCAGCACAAUCUCGCGUCUCUCCCCUCUGCGUCGGCGUCCAUGAAGCCCACAAUCUCAACGUUUGACCUCGGAUCAGGUAGGGAUACCCGCUGAACUUAAGCAUAUCAAUAAGCGGAGGA